AGCGAACGCUGGCGGCAGGCUUAACACAUGCAAGUCGAACGCCCGUAGCAAUACGGGAGUGGCAGACGGGAGAGUAACACGUGGGAACGUGCCCUUCAGUUCGGAACAACCCAGGGAAACUUGGGCUAAUACCGGAUACGUCCGUAAGGAGAAAGAUUUAUCGCUGAAGGAUCGGCCCGCGUCUGAUUAGCUAGUUGGUGGGGUAAUGGCCCACCAAGGCGACGAUCAGUAGCUGGUCUGAGAGGAUGAUCAGCCUCACUGGGACUGAGA
rnacentral:rRNA from 1 species